CUGGAGGAGGCUAGAAGCUUAAACCUUUCAUUGUUUAAUCUGUUGACUUGGAAUCAAGAAAAGUCUCAUUGUGAAUCCAGUCUGGCUGCAAUUUGACUACAGAUAAAACAGGACCAAAUACAUCAGCAGGAAUGGAGCUGAAGCUUUUUGGAACCAUGGGACUAUUCUUCGGCUGGAAUUUCAAUCCCAGAAAAUUUCACCCUCCGUGAUAUUCCCUAUGCUGUGUUGAGUUUCAGGGAUAAAUUUGUUUUCAGAUUUCUAUCCAGUGAUGGGGAGCCAUGCUUCAGGGGUCUGACAGGUUUCAGGCAAACAACCCGGAGGAAGUGAAAAUGUUGGGAAUGAAAUAAUGCAACCUAGAAACUAUAUUACAAACAUUUGCCUCAUGGAGAUCCAACUAAAAGAGCCAUUGAUGAGCCGGAGCAUACAAUAACCCUCAACAUUAGCAAGUAUACUUUUGGUGACUUCAAGCAUUCCUGUGAUGUUAUUAGUAACCUCAUUUUCAUUUUUGUGGUGCAACCACACACAUUUGUG
rnacentral:lncRNA from 1 species